GGUCGCCAUGGGAACGCGGGGGCCGCGCUCGGCCCCGGCGGGGCCCGCGGCCUUCGGGGCGCCGCUCGCCAAACGGCGCCGCUUCCCCUCUCCUGGAGACGCCCGCCCUCCUCCGAGAACGGCGCUGCACGCCCCCCGCUCCCGCAGAGGGAUGUGCCCGAGGCAGGAGCGGCGUCCCCACGGCGGGGAGGGAACGGGAGCGGGAGAGCGCCCGGUGCUCCUGGCAGAUCCUCUUUUCACCUCCUCUCCGGGCAGAAGAACACAUCCUUUUGCAAAAACCAGCCGUGGCUGGCACCACAGGGGCAGGAAGCCAGGCCAAGGCAAACUGUGGCUUUGCCCACGUCACUUUGGGGAACACGAGCACCCCAAACUCGGCAGGUCGGGCAGCACAGCCUCAGCCUCUGGAUCCAGCCUCCUGCAGGGAGAUUUGCUUCCCCUGUGGCACCCGCUGGCUGAGGAGCCAAAUGGACAGCACGGCAGGAAGCAGCACUAAACACAGCAAGGGAGCCCAGCGUGGACUGGUUAUAAAACCCUCUGCCUUCGUUUUAUUGCCUUUGGUAAAGCUUGGUAAAUAUUUCUGGGACAGGCAACUCCUUGUCUGGCUUUAAUUACCUGGGCAAAUUUUCCUAAGGAUUAUAUUGACCUCAAAUAUG